UACGUAGGGGGCUAGCGUUGUCCGGAAUCAUUGGGCGUAAAGAGCGCGUAGGCGGCCAGAUAAGUCCGGUGUGAAAGUCAAAGGCUCAACCUUUGAAUGCCGCUGGAAACUGUCUGGCUAGAGUCCGGGAGGGGCGAGUGGAAUUCCUGGUGUAGCGGUGAAAUGCGCAGAUAUCAGGAGGAACACCAAUGGCGAAGGCGAGUCUCUGGACAUUUCCUGACGCUGAGGCACGAAAGCCAGGGGAGCAAACGGG
rnacentral:rRNA from 1 species